CCUACGGGGAGCAGCAGUGAGGAAUAUUGGUCAAUGGGCGAGAGCCUGAACCAGCCAAGUCGCGUGAGGGAGUACUGCCCUAUGGGUUGUAAACCUCUUUUGUCGGGGCGCAAAAGCCGGACGUGUCCGGCUGUGAGAGUACCCGAAGAAAAAGCAUCGGCUAACUCCGUGCCCGCAGCCGCGGUAAUACGGAGGAUGCGAGCGUUAUCCGGAUUGAUUGGGUUUAAAGGGUGCGCAGGCGGAUUUUUAAUUCAGCGGUCAAAUCGUGGGGGUAAACCCCAGCCAGCCGUUGAAACUGGGGAUCUAGAGUGUGCGAGAGGGAUGUGGAAUGCGUGGUGUAGCGGUGAAAUGCAUAGAUAUCACGCAGAACCCCGAUUGCGAAGGCAGCAUACCGGUGCACAACUGACGCUCAGGCACGAAAGCGUGGGUAUCGAACAGGAUUAGAUACCCUGGUAGUC
rnacentral:rRNA from 1 species